rnacentral:lncRNA from 1 species
CCCAAUUGCACCCAUGAAAUGGAACGACCGAAUAAGUCACACUUUGCGAUGAGAUGUUUAUUUAUUAAGAGAAACUCAACUAGUCCUUUUAUUAUGUAUUGAUCGAGCAAUCUUACACCUGUUGAGACCGGUUUUCAAAGUUGAUUUACUAACUGAUAUGUCAAAUUGUAAUUCGUUGACACAUCGGUUGGUAAUCAAUAUUUCAAACCGGUUUUAAUCAGUGUAGCAUUUUUGUCAUUCACAUCACAAUUGAGUCCCAAUACAAAUAUAUCUCCUAAGCACCGGACAUUGACGAGUCUUCGUGACAAUUGCACUCUUCAACUUCCGAUCCUCCGUUCAGCGACCGAAGAAGAAAAUGCCACCAUUCUUGACUUUGAAAGUUUGAAGUGAAUAAAGAACUGGAAUUUACCCAUAUGUCACCUUAUGAGGGGCUGAGAAAUGCUUAGAGGCAGCAACAAUGGCGGCUUCAGGCGCACUUCGCUUGGCGGGAUGCUUGCUAUGAUCCGCUCUUACUGGCAAAGCCAAGAAAGAAAAGAAGGUCUUGAACCAGGGCAUGUUCUUCCGGUCGCCCGUCAUCUUCUAACUCAAAAUUCUUCUAAUUCACAGACCAGCAGAAGGUAAGAAAUAAGACAGAAAAAGAGAGUGGAGAUGUUCUUUGUUGCGGGGGGGUGUGAACUUUUGAACUUGCUUCUUUGAUGCGUGAUUUGCUG